rnacentral:rRNA from 1 species
CCUACGGGUGGCAGCAGUGGGGAAUAUUGCACAAUGGGGGGAACCCUGAUGCAGCAACGCCGCGUGGGUGAAGAAGUACUCCGGUAUGUAAAGCCCUGUCAGCAGGGAAGACAAUGACGGUACCUGACCAAGAAGCCCCGUCUAACUACGUGCCAGCAGCCGCGGUAAUACGUAGGGGGCAAGCGUUAUCCGGAUUUACUGGGUGGAAAGGGAGCGUAGACGGCAAGGCAAGUCUGGAGGGAAAGCCCGGGGCCCAACCACGGGACUGCUUUGGAAACUGUGUUGCUUGAGUGCAGGAGGGGUAAGCGGAAUGCCUAGUGUAGCGGUGAAAUGCGUAGAUAUUAGGAGGAACACCGGUGGCGAAGGCGGCGUACUGGACUGUAACUGACGUUGAGGCUCGAAGGCGUGGGGAGCAAACAGGAUUAGAUACCCGUGUAGUC